rnacentral:SRP_RNA from 10 species
CGCGGUGGCGCGUGCCUGUAGUCCCAGCUACUCGGGAGGCUGAGGUGGGAGGAUCGCUUGAGCCCAGGAGUUCUGGGCUGUAGUGCGCUAUGCCGAUCGGGUGUCCGCACUAAGUUCGGCAUCAAUAUGGUGACCUCCCGGGAGCGGGGGACCACCAGGUUGCCUAAGGAGGGGUGAACCGGCCCAGGUCGGAAACGGAGCAGGUCAAAACUCCCGUGCUGAUCAGUAGUGGGAUCGCGCCUGUGAAUAGCCACUGCACUCCAGCCUGAGCAACAUAGCG